rnacentral:rRNA from 1 species
UACAGAGGGUGCGAGCGUUAAUCGGAUUUACUGGGCGUAAAGCGUGCGUAGGCGGCUUCGUAAGUUGGAUGUGAAAUCCCCGAGCUUAACUUGGGAAUUGCAUUCAAAACUGCGAGGCUAGAGUAUGGGAGAGGAUGGUAGAAUUCCAGGUGUAGCGGUGAAAUGCGUAGAGAUCUGGAGGAAUACCGAUGGCGAAGGCAGCCAUCUGGCCUAAUACUGACGCUGAGGUACGAAAGCAUGGGGAGCAAACAGGAUUAGAUACCCCCGUAGUCC